UACGUAGGGAGCAAGCGUUGUCCGGAAUCAUUGGGCGUAAAGCGCGCGUAGGUGGCCCCUUAAGUCCGCGGUGAAAGUCAAAGGCUCAACCUUUGAAAGCCGGUGGAUACUGUGGGACUAGAGUACGGAAGAGGCGAGUGGAAUUCCUGGUGUAGCGGUGGAAUGCGCAGAUAUCAGGAGGAACACCAAUAGCGAAGGCAGCUCGCUGGGACGUUACUGACACUGAGGCGCGAAAGCGUGGGGAGCGAACAGG
rnacentral:rRNA from 1 species